AAUAGAUACCCCGGUAGUCCACGCCGUAAACGAUGAAUACUAGGUGUGGGGGUUGUCAUGACCUCCGUGCCGCCGCUAACGCAUUAAGUAUUCCGCCUGGGGAGUACGGUCGCAAGAUUAAAACUCAAAGGAAUUGACGGGGGGCCCGCACAAGCAGCGGAGCAUGUGGUUUAAUUCGAAGCAACGCGAAGAACCUUACCUAGACUUGACAUCUCCUGAAUUACUCUGUAAUGGAGGAAGCCCUUCGGGGCAGGAAGACAGGUGGUGCAUGGUUGUCGUCAGCUCGUGUCGUGAGAUGUUGGGUUAAGUCCCGCAACGAGCGCAACCCUUAUUGUUAGUUGCUACCAUUUAGUUGAGCACUCUAGCGAGACUGCCCGGGUUAACCGGGAGGAAGGUGGGGAUGACGUCAAAUCAUCAUGCCCCUUAUGUCUAGGGCUACACACGUGCUACAAUGGCUGGUACAGAGAGAUGCAAUACCGCGAGGUGGAGCCAAACUUCAAAACCAGUCUCAGUUCGGAUUGUAGGCUGAAACUCGCCUA
rnacentral:rRNA from 1 species